GCAAUUUUGCAAAAUUGCUUCUCUUCAGCAAUUCCCUGUGAAUUUGGGGAAGGGGGGGUUUCAGGCACAGCAGUGGUAUAAAUUGCAAAUUGAAGUGCCAAAACCAGUCUGGCCUGUGCAGGUCACUGGAGUAGACGCAGCUCUUGCCUGCAAGCAUUUGUAAUCUAAAACCCCAGCUCUAUUCCCACUGGAGGUAAUGACAAAACUCCAUGUGAUUGCAAACGGAACAGGAUUAGACCCUAACUAAAUAAAAGGAGCUUUUUUUUUUUUCUUUUUUUUUUUUUUUCAGUCACCAGAUACUCCUUCCCUACGACAAAUUCAAACAGCUUUUGUUCAGGAGUCCAAAAAAGAAAAACAGCACAACUUCUUUCCUCACUUUCGAGCAGGUUUGGAAAGACAAGAUUCGAAAGAGAAUUCCCAUCUGUUAUUGGAGCAUUUAAUCAUUCUCCUAAAGGCAGCACAGUUUUAUUUUCUCAGGGGAGCGAGCAGCAUUAGCUGAGGCAUAAAGCAAACUCCACCAAGUGUAGAAAAAACUCACCCUGAUGUCCUGUUUGCCAAACUGACCUGCGGGUCACAACCUGAGUUUAUUGAUCCGUGGGGCCUUGUCUGGGUGCCGGGCAUGUUUUCUGGACUUUGGUUUCAGCUGCAUUCCUCACUUCUCAAAAGAGGGGGUGUGGAUUUCUGCUAGGAGUAACCACUGGGAAGGAAGUAAUGUUCAUUAAGUGUGCAGGCAGUGCAGGACGAAGCAUGCUCAGUGCGAAAAGCUUCGCUCUCCUGCCUGUCAAGCCCGAGGUUUGAACUCCUUCCAGAACGCCGGAUUUACUUUUCAGGAAGAAACUCUACCUGCCUGGGCUGCUUUUUUCCCUUCCCUCCUCGGAGGAGUGCAAACAAUGUUCUUUUGAUGCUUUCCUGCCAGUGGGAAUCUCGCCCUGGAGAAGGAGACAAAACUUUGGUACCUGUGAAACGAAGACUGCUUAGGUAGCAGUGGGAAUGAAAGCAAUUCCAUUUGCCACACAGGCUCCACAAAUGGAAAAACUUGUUGCUCUUGAGUUCCCUUGGAGGAAAUCUGAGCAUCCUGUGCCGCCCUGAGGUUUUGGAUCAGAUCCGUGGAUCCUGGAUGCCCGGUGUGAUGAGGGUGAUGGUUUGGGGUGAUUUCCUGCGCUUCGCACUGCUCAGGUCAGGGUUCUGCAGCACAGGAGGGGUUUUAUCAAAAGGUGAGUUUGCAUCAUUCCAGUUUACUGCUUUCCCUGGGAAUUUAGGGCUCAUCCUGCAGAAGGGCUGAGCCAGGAGCAGCUGGCCUGGGGUUCUGCUGUGGGGCCAGCAGGAUUCAGAGGAACGCAGAGCACUCUGGAGCUGCAUUUAUUUAAUUUCCAGGUGAUUUUCUGGGAGCUGCUGCCACAGAAAGCACUGAAUUAGCCUGGGAUAGAUGAAUUUAGUGAAAAUUCAACCAAAAUUUCCAGUUAAAUCUGGUUAUUUUCUGUGGGAUUUGGGUUCGAGUGGGUCCAUGGGCCACAGCCAUAAAUGUUUGGUUUUCUUACGCCAAAGAUUUUGUGCAGAAAUAUUUUGGUAGCACCUGUAAAGGGGAAAAAGCAGAACAGGUGGUGUCAAUUCAGAGUAGAAACGUGAACAAAAAGAUGGUUUAGGAUUUAUGGAAGGUACACAGAGAAAUAAGAAAUUAAAGAAAUUAAAUUGUAUCUUUUUGCACCUCCACUUUCCUCAUAUGUACACAGAUAUGAUCUGUGCCAAUAUAUUGAUUAUUCCCAGGGAACAAAGCAGCCAGGGUUGGGCAUUCCAGCUGCAGCCUCCAGGUAUCUUGGCAUCUUUGUGUUUAUGGGUCUCACCCUUUUUACUUUUUACUUUUACUUUUACUUUUUACUGUCCCCCAACAGCAAUAAAGUCAGCCAAGAUCCGGCCUUUUCAGAGCAUUGCCACUCUCCUAAAACAGGGGGAGGGAGGGAAGGAGAAGCAGCUCCAGCACAGAAAAUACCCUGGGUGCUCCUCUGAAUGAUUUCUUGGACCUCCAAAGAAAACCUGAAAGCAAAAGGAAGAAAUAUUAAUCCUUAACAGAUACAUGGCACCAGCCCUGGGUUGGGGUUCAACACUUCUCUGAAACACUCAGACUCCCAUGGGGUUUUUUGGGAGCAUUUCACUGGAGAAAAUGUUAUUUCCCUGAUUUUUCCUCGAGGAAAUGUUUUAGUUGAAGUGGAAAACAACGGGCAGCUCAUGAGCUGGAGUGAACCUGAGGUUCUCAGUGUUUCUCCCUCCCUCGUGCCACCUCUACCAAAACGCUUUUGUGCUUCCCUUAUGAGCUGAUGUUGGCAGCUUGGUGAUUUUUGUGAUUCCCUCCCCGAAAUCCAGGCUUUGGCAGAGGUUUCAGCUCUUGCUGCAGAGGUGGUGUGGGACAGGGUGAACAUUCCUGCUCUGAGACUCAGUUUCAUCUCCACAUCAUCCCAGCCUUUGUUUAAUUGAUAUUUUCUCCCCGCAUGCACCUUUGGAAAUUAAAGAAAGGAAAAAUAGAAUAAAUAAAAUGCUCAACACUCUCAGUGGAGUGCAAGUGCCCUCUGAGGAGCAGCUGUGCUGUGGGAAUUCUCCUCCUUUAGACCCUCAGAGCUGUCAGCACUGAAUCCAGUUCAUGUUUCCUUGCUGUUCUGGAGGUUUGGGGUUUUUUUCCUCUUUUUUUGGGUGCUCUAGAAAGGUGUUGGAGCGCUCAGGAGUCAGUGAGGGGAGAAACCAAUCCCAGGGCUGCUGGCAGGAGCAGAGAACACCAGCACACCAAAACCCUCUAGAUUAGAUGUCUAAGGUGUGGAGGGGGAUUUUUAGGACUGAAAAGCAUCCCAUUAAAGCAGCUGAGAUUUUAUUAAUUAAUAUCUUAUCAACUAAAAACAUCACUCUCUUUUCUUUUUUUUUCUUUUUCUUUUUCUUUUUUUUUUUUUUUUUUUUUUUUUUUUUUUUGGGGGGUAGCAAAAUGAAGGAAAAAAAAUACCUCAAGCUGGGUCUGAGAGGGAUGGUUCCAAAAUAAUUCAAUAGCUGAGGUGGCCUCUCAUGUGCUCCAGUCCCAAAUGUGUGUUCUGUGAGGCUGAUUAUGGAAUACAUGCAUUUAGAGCUGGGAGCAAAGGGAGAAUUGAUUUCUUUCUGGAGUGCUGUGGCUGCUGCUGUGUUGGAGAUAAUGAAACAUUAGAGCAGAAGCAAAACUGAGCUGGAAAAGGAGCAUUAUUGCACCUGUAGGUGUAAAGAACUGUGGGAUUGUCUGCACUGGGGUGGGCAGAAGUUAAUUUUUAUUGAAGUGGUGAUGCACAGAUAAAGUGAACUGGAGUGCACUGAGCCCCUUUGUGGUCGCUCUGGUUCUUGGUGGAAGUGAUUUUGUGUAAACUUGACUUGGUUCCAAACUAAAUUUAGUGAAACCAAAUCCAAGCCACUCUGAUUGUGAGGUCUAAACAGGGUUUUCAGCAGUUCUUAACUAACUCACCUCAAAAAUUGAUAUAGUUUGGUUAUCUUGAGUCCUCUGGUGCAGAUGCCCAAAGUCCACUUUUGAUUUUAUCAUUCUCUCCUUGCAGUACUUGGCUUAUUUUGCUCUUCAGACUCCAAGAUAAUGUGCUAAUUUCAGCUUUCAC